GAUGAACGCUGGCGGCGUGCCUAAUACAUGCAAGUCGAACGGAGAUUGUAGCAAUACAGUCUUAGUGGCGAACGGGUGAGUAACGCGUUGGUGACCUGCCCCGAAGUGUGGGAUAACAGCCCGAAAGGGUUGCUAAUACCGCAUGUGGUUUUUCGGAUUAGAUGCCGAAUUUCUAAAGGAGAAAUUCGCUUCGGGAGGGGCCUGCGUCCCAUCAGCUAGUUGGUAGGGUAAAAGCCUACCAAGGCGAUGACGGGUAGGGGACCUGAGAGGGUGGCCCCCCACAAUGGAACUGAAACACGGUCCAUACACCUACGGGUGGCUG
rnacentral:rRNA from 1 species